UUCAAGUAAGUUUGGCUGCUAAAAUGUUUUGAUAUUUGCUGAACAGACAUGCAAUUGCCUGCAUAGUCCCCUCUUAUUUGAAAAAUGAAUCCCUGUCGCUUGCAAGAUGUACAAUCUCAUGCACGUCGUGCAUAGCUAAUUGGGAGAGGUGGACGCCAGAUGUAAACAAACAGAGAGGGGUGUGUGUCAGUGACAGUCACGUUGAGUAAGUUUUGCAGAUGUAGGCAAAUAGAUGUGAGAUUGGCAUAUUACUAACAGUGUUGGACUAAAUGUAAAUUAGUUUUUUUCUUGAGGUCUUUGUGGUGGGUCAUGUUGGUUGUUAUGUUUGGAUGAGGUUAGCCUAAGUCACUGACUUCUGAAAUGACUGCAUGUUGGAAUGACUUGUCCUAGGCUUUCUUACAGUAGGCUACUGACCUCAUCAAUAAAUCAUGGCGUUGUGAAUCUGUUGAUGUAUUUAUUUGCACUCAUGUAGUAAUGCACUGUCAUGAAAGCUAAAUUGUGACAUAACUUUUUUCCUCUGUCAGUUGGCUAUGACAUAUUUAUUGACCAGAUAAGUGGAAGUGCCUGCUUAUGCAGACCCAGUGUAUACAUGCUGGCAUUGUUUCAUGUGUUUAUGCUAUGGCAAGUUUGACACAGUAUUUGCUAUAGUGAUAUUUAUUUUUUGUGACAUUUAAUCUCAUCUAAAUCUCAUUUGUUUUUGAACAGUGUUGGGUAGCCAGCCACCCAUGCACGAUGACAAUGCCAGCAGCGGGCACCCAUGGGGAUGGACCCAGGAGUGGAGGAUGACCCAGUAUGAUGAAAGUUCAGCCCACUCACUGACACCAGUGACACAGUAUUGACCAGAUCUCCUGGAAGUGCCUCCUGACGCAGACCCAGUGUAAGUAUGCAUGCUGGCACUGUUUCGUUUAUUUAGGCUAUGCCGGGUUUGACACAGUAUUUGCUUUUAGUGAUAUGUAAUAAAUAUUUUGUCUGAUAUUUAAUCUCAUCUAAAUCUCAUUAUGUUUUUUAACAAUGUUGGGUAGCCAGCCACCCAUGCACGUUGACACAGCCAGCACUGAGCACCCAGGGGGAUGGACCCAGGAGUGGAGGACGGCCCAAUAGGAUGAAAAUUCAUCCCACUCACUGUUGACACCAAUGAGGGAACAAGAGAGGCUAGGCAACCCCAUCUUUUGACAACGGUCACCACCAGUCUAUUUCUAAAAAUGUUAUUAUUAUAUAUCUGUUAUAUAACAAUGUAUUUGUG